rnacentral:tRNA from 1 species
GUUGUUGUGGUUUAGUGGUUAUCACAUCAGUCUUCACACUGACGGUUCCCAGUUCGAUCCUGGGCAGCAAUA